rnacentral:rRNA from 1 species
CCUACGGGAGGCAGCAGUGAGGAAUAUUGGUCAAUGGCCGCAGGGCUGAACCAGCCAAGUCGCGUGAGGGAUGACGGUCCUAUGGAUUGUAAACCUCUUUUGUCAGGGAGCAAAGGGCGCCACGUGUGGCGCUUUGCGAGUACCUGAAGAAAAAGCAUCGGCUAACUCCGUGCCAGCAGCCGCGGUAAUACGGAGGAUGCGAGCGUUAUCCGGAUUUAUUGGGUUUAAAGGGUGCGCAGGCGGAAUGUCAAGUCAGCGGUAAAAUUUCGGGGCUCAACCCCGUCGUGCCGUUGAGACUGGCGUUCUUGAGUGAGCGAGAAGUAUGCGGAAUGCGUGGUGUAGCGGUGAAAUGCAUAGAUAUCACGCAGAACUCCGAUUGCGAAGGCAGCAUACCGGCGCUCAACUGACGCUCAUGCACGAAAGCGUGGGUAUCGAACAGGAUUAGAUACCCCAGUAGUC